rnacentral:rRNA from 1 species
ACUCAAAGGAAUUGACGGGGACUUGCACAAGCGGUGGAUCAUGCGGCUCAAUUCGAUGACAAACGAAGAACCUCACCAGGGUUUGAAACCCAGACGAUUGCUUUAGGAAACUAGAGCGUCCGCAAGGCGGCUGGGCAGGUGAUGCAUGGUCGUCGUCAGUUCGUGGCUUGAGUUGUUCCCUUCAGUGGGGUAACGAACGCAACCCCCGUUGCCUGUUUUCUAUGUCAGGCGAGACUGCUCCCUCACGGGAGAGGAAGGUGGGGAUGACGCCAGAUCAGCAUGUCCCUCUGAUAUCCUGGGCUGCACGCAUGAUACAAUGCACUCGACAACGAGACGCAAUGGGGUAACCCGGAGCAAAUCUUUUAAACGAGUGCCCAGUUCGGAUUGAGGGCUGCAACUCGCCCUCAUGAAGCCGGAAUCGCUAGUAAUCGCGGGUCAGCUAUACCGCGGUGAAUACGUUCUCAAGUCUUGUACACACCGCCCGU